AUUGAACGCUGGCGGCAGGCCUAACACAUGCAAGUCGAACGGCAGCGGGGGGUAGCUUGCUACCCCGCCGGCGAGUGGCGGACGGGUGAGUAAUGCCUGGGGAGCUGCCCAAUCGAGGGGGAUACCAGUUGGAAACGACUGCUAAUACCGCAUACGCCCUGAGGGGGAAAGGUGGGGAUCUUCGGACCUACCGCGAUUGGAUGCACCCAGGUGGGAUUAGCUAGUUGGUGAGGUAACGGCUCACCAAGGCGACGAUCUCUAGUUGGUCUGAGAGGAUGACCAGCCACACUGGAACUGAGACACGGUCCAGACUCCUACGGGAGGCAGCAGUGGGGAAUAUUGCACAAUGGGGGAAACCCUGAUGCAGCCAUGCCGCGUGUGUGAAGAAGGCCUUCGGGUUGUAAAGCACUUUCAGCGAGGAGGAAAGGUGGCUAGCUAAUACCUAGUUGCUGUGACGUUACUCGCAGAAGAAGCACCGGCUAACUCCGUGCCAGCAGCCGCCGUAA
rnacentral:rRNA from 1 species